rnacentral:rRNA from 1 species
GGUUAAGCGACUAAGCGUACACGGUGGAUGCCCUGGCAGUCAGAGGCGAUGAAGGACGUGCUAAUCUGCGAUAAGCGUCGGUAAGGUGAUAUGAACCGUUAUAACCGGCGAUUUCCGAAUGGGGAAACCCAGUGUGAUUCGUCACACUAUCAUUAACUGAAUCCAUAGGUUAAUGAGGCGAACCGGGGGAACUGAAACAUCUAAGUACCCCGAGGAAAAGAAAUCAACCGAGAUUCCCCCAGUAGCGGCGAGCGAACGGGGAGCAGCCCAGAGCCUGAAUCAGUGUGUGUGUUAGUGGAAGCGUCUGGAAAGGCGUGCGAUACAGGGUGACAGCCCCGUACACAAAAAUGCACAUGCUGUGAGCUCGAUGAGUAGGGCGGGACACGUGGUAUCCUGUCUGAAUAUGGGGGGACCAUCCUCCAAGGCUAAAUACUCCUGACUGACCGAUAGUGAACCAGUACCGUGAGGGAAAGGCGAAAAGAACCCCGGCGAGGGGAGUGAAAAAGAACCUGAAACCGUGUACGUACAAGCAGUGGGAGCACGCUUAGGCGUGUGACUGCGUACCUUUUGUAUAAUGGGUCAGCGACUUAUAUUCUGUAGCAAGGUUAACCGAAUAGGGGAGCCGAAGGGAAACCGAGUCUUAACUGGGCGUUAAGUUGCAGGGUAUAGACCCGAAACCCGGUGAUCUAGCCAUGGGCAGGUUGAAGGUUGGGUAACACUAACUGGAGGACCGAACCGACUAAUGUUGAAAAAUUAGCGGAUGACUUGUGGCUGGGGGUGAAAGGCCAAUCAAACCGGGAGAUAGCUGGUUCUCCCCGAAAGCUAUUUAGGUAGCGCCUCGUGAAUUCAUCUCCGGGGGUAGAGCACUGUUUCGGCAAGGGGGUCAUCCCGACUUACCAACCCGAUGCAAACUGCGAAUACCGGAGAAUGUUAUCACGGGAGACACACGGCGGGUGCUAACGUCCGUCGUGAAGAGGGAAACAACCCAGACCGCCAGCUAAGGUCCCAAAGUCAUGGUUAAGUGGGAAACGAUGUGGGAAGGCCCAGACAGCCAGGAUGUUGGCUUAGAAGCAGCCAUCAUUUAAAGAAAGCGUAAUAGCUCACUGGUCGAGUCGGCCUGCGCGGAAGAUGUAACGGGGCUAAACCAUGCACCGAAGCUGCGGCAGCGACGCUUAUGCGUUGUUGGGUAGGGGAGCGUUCUGUAAGCCUGCGAAGGUGUGCUGUGAGGCAUGCUGGAGGUAUCAGAAGUGCGAAUGCUGACAUAAGUAACGAUAAAGCGGGUGAAAAGCCCGCUCGCCGGAAGACCAAGGGUUCCUGUCCAACGUUAAUCGGGGCAGGGUGAGUCGACCCCUAAGGCGAGGCCGAAAGGCGUAGUCGAUGGGAAACAGGUUAAUAUUCCUGUACUUGGUGUUACUGCGAAGGGGGGACGGAGAAGGCUAUGUUGGCCGGGCGACGGUUGUCCCGGUUUAAGCGUGUAGGCUGGUUUUCCAGGCAAAUCCGGAAAAUCAAGGCUGAGGCGUGAUGACGAGGCACUACGGUGCUGAAGCAACAAAUGCCCUGCUUCCAGGAAAAGCCUCUAAGCAUCAGGUAACAUCAAAUCGUACCCCAAACCGACACAGGUGGUCAGGUAGAGAAUACCAAGGCGCUUGAGAGAACUCGGGUGAAGGAACUAGGCAAAAUGGUGCCGUAACUUCGGGAGAAGGCACGCUGAUAUGUAGGUGAAGUCCCUCGCGGAUGGAGCUGAAAUCAGUCGAAGAUACCAGCUGGCUGCAACUGUUUAUUAAAAACACAGCACUGUGCAAACACGAAAGUGGACGUAUACGGUGUGACGCCUGCCCGGUGCCGGAAGGUUAAUUGAUGGGGUUAGCGCAAGCGAAGCUCUUGAUCGAAGCCCCGGUAAACGGCGGCCGUAACUAUAACGGUCCUAAGGUAGCGAAAUUCCUUGUCGGGUAAGUUCCGACCUGCACGAAUGGCGUAAUGAUGGCCAGGCUGUCUCCACCCGAGACUCAGUGAAAUUGAACUCGCUGUGAAGAUGCAGUGUACCCGCGGCAAGACGGAAAGACCCCGUGAACCUUUACUAUAGCUUGACACUGAACAUUGAGCCUUGAUGUGUAGGAUAGGUGGGAGGCUUUGAAGUGUGGACGCCAGUCUGCAUGGAGCCGACCUUGAAAUACCACCCUUUAAUGUUUGAUGUUCUAACGUUGACCCGUAAUCCGGGUUGCGGACAGUGUCUGGUGGGUAGUUUGACUGGGGCGGUCUCCUCCUAAAGAGUAACGGAGGAGCACGAAGGUUGGCUAAUCCUGGUCGGACAUCAGGAGGUUAGUGCAAUGGCAUAAGCCAGCUUGACUGCGAGCGUGACGGCGCGAGCAGGUGCGAAAGCAGGUCAUAGUGAUCCGGUGGUUCUGAAUGGAAGGGCCAUCGCUCAACGGAUAAAAGGUACUCCGGGGAUAACAGGCUGAUACCGCCCAAGAGUUCAUAUCGACGGCGGUGUUUGGCACCUCGAUGUCGGCUCAUCACAUCCUGGGGCUGAAGUAGGUCCCAAGGGUAUGGCUGUUCGCCAUUUAAAGUGGUACGCGAGCUGGGUUUAGAACGUCGUGAGACAGUUCGGUCCCUAUCUGCCGUGGGCGCUGGAGAACUGAGGGGGGCUGCUCCUAGUACGAGAGGACCGGAGUGGACGCAUCACUGGUGUUCGGGUUGUCAUGCCAAUGGCACUGCCCGGUAGCUAAAUGCGGAAGAGAUAAGUGCUGAAAGCAUCUAAGCACGAAACUUGCCCCGAGAUGAGUUCUCCCUGACUCCUUGAGAGUCCUGAAGGAACGUUGAAGACGACGACGUUGAUAGGCCGGGUGUGUAAGCGCAGCGAUGCGUUGAGCUAACCGGUACUAAUGAACCGUGAGGCUAACCUUAC